rnacentral:lncRNA from 1 species
AUAUUUAGUUGUACAUCUAUCCUUCUUGCACCACUGACUCGGAUGAAGGACUCACAGUCUGGAGUUUUCCUCAUGGUAGCCUCCGGGUCUUAAAGAGAUUUGACGUAGAGUGAGCACUCAAUAAACAUUUGUUAAAGAGAUCAAACCAUUUUUGAGGGCUGAGACCAUAGCAUUCCAUAAGUUCAGUGGCUCAAACAACUGAAAACUCUCUCUUCACAGAGUGAGGGCUGGAAGCCCAAGGUCAAGGUUUCAGCAGGACUGAGCUCUGUCAGGCUCCUCACCAUGGCUCACAGAGGGCCACUUCUUUAUGUAUCAUCAUGUGAAUUUAUCUUUUUUGUGUUUCUUUUUCCCUAUGACCUCUCUCCUUGUGUAAAAAUCCCUGCUAUUUUAGGAUGCCACCCUAAGGCCCUAUCUUAAUUUGUUCACUUCCCUAAAGACUCUAUCUCCAAGAAAUUUAGUGUUCAGACAUGCUGAGGCUAAAGGAGGCACCAUAGUUCACAAGGGAGGAAUGCCGCAAUGGGUUCAUAUUGCAGUGGGGAUAUUUCAAGAUAAACAGCAUUAGAAUGGGUUAAGAUGAUCCUCCAUAAUGGUGGCUCUCUCUGUCAUGCCUCCCUGUGAGUAGGCCUACUCUUACACUCAUACAUUCCUACCACAGUCCUCAGCAGAAGGCAGACAGGUUUGUUGUUGUUCUUGUUUUGUUUGUUUGUUUGUUUGUUUUAGAAAGUGAACCUGCCUCAGGUAUUCCAUUACAGUAGUGAAUAAUGGCAGGAGUAAACCACCAAGUAGCUAAACCUUAUUACCUCACUGCUCCAAAGCUCAGCAUAUAGUGCUGCGGCAACCUCAAAAAGACUACUUCUCACCCUUUUCUGCUAACAUUCCUUACUCACUUCUGUUCCAAGCAUUUAGUUGAGACAUUAUCUUGAGUGGCAAACUAGCCCAGCAGAAACAUGUGGAACACCCCCCCCCAACCCCCACGCUCAGCACAGUCUCCCAGUAAUGUGUAAUAACUAAUUAUUGGCAGCCCUUGUCCUCCCUUGUUAUCUUGUGGAAAUAGUUGUUUCUUCCUGUAAGAACUGGCUACAGAUGCUACUAAAAUAAAAUUCUUAGGAUAAUUAGCAGAUGCGGGGGUUUCUGGGAUGUUUCAUUAGUGAGUUGUGCUGGUCUAGAAGCCUGCCAGCUUGCUCACUGCGCGAGGAAGCAGAGCUGUCGCUAGCUCGCUUGCUGUCUUUGUUUGGAUUUGCAUAUGUUCUUCCCAUUUCCAUUUACCACCCCUUUACCCAAGAAAUCAACUCUCAGAAUCGACAAUGACUUUCCAAAUCUAUAUGUCUUUGCCUUUCCAGUUACUGCCUUCUCUUCAUUUACCCAGUCACAUCGGGUUAUGGAAACACAAAUGCAGAAUCCUGCCCAAAUAAAAUUGUGAUCUCAGAAAUUCAAGAGCAUUUGCAUUUCAGCCUAAGACAGCACGCAGCCUCAGAAACACACUGAACAGAACUUGGGAAACCUUGCACAUCCACAGCUGAUAGAAUGCUUCUCCUGUCUGCUCCUGGAUUGUGCAGUCAAUUGACAUUUUGUUGACUCUACUUCCCUCCAAUCUCCCCUUCUAUAUAACUUCAAUUCUCCUUCGGCUAGCGUUCCCCAUUGCUAUUCCCGGUGGCUUUGUACCUCAGCUCAGCCAGUCUUUGAGAAACAAUGCCAUGUCUUUCUCUUGGCUCUUUCUAUCCCACACCCUUCUUGAUCUCUAUCUCACCUGUGCAAACACAACUUGGAUAAGAACAACCCUUUAGCCUUAGUUACUGGGGAUAGGAACCCAUGCAAAGUCCCGAUACACUUCAACCACAAGCUGGCUCUUUGUGCUUGUUCUGAAUCACUGAGGCUCAGGACAAUCAUUAUUCUCUCCUACUAAGAAAAUGCACCACUAACCUAGUUUUGUUUGGUUUGUUAGCUUCUGUCUUGGUGAUCCCUGUGUCCCUCUUUGCCUUCAUCAACCCCUGUAGUACCUUCCCCCAUUGGGCUCUAGCCAUUGACUCCUUUCUAGCCAAGCAAAUGUGCCGUGAUCAUGUCUCAUCAGAGAGACUCGUGUCUUGCUGCCUCUGCUUCAGUGCAUUCUCGCUCCCUGUAGCAGAACUGUGUGAGUCUCCUGAAGCUUUCGACCUGAGGAAAGGCUCACAAGUUCGCUCCUCAAAGAAGGCACCCCUGGAGUUCAAAGAAUGUCGCCACCCCUGCCAAUCACUCUUUUCUACAGACUCCAUCUUUCUUUUUUAACUGAAACUUCCUUAAACUUUCUUCCUGUCAAAAGUAAGACCCUCUGGGGCUGGGGUCAUGUGCUGCAGACCCACUUUUCUUUCAACUGAGCCUGUUAGAUUAGAUAUUCAAAAAGUAUCUUUACUGAAGAGCCAGAAAGAUGGCUCAGUGGUUAAGGACAUCCACUGCUCUUGCAGAGGACUGGAGUUUGGUAACCAGCACCUAUGUCAGGUGACUCAUAGCCACUUGAAACUCAAGCUGUAGAGGACCCGGCACCCACUUCUAGCCUCUGUGGACACCUGCAUGCACAUAUAUACCCAUCCCAUACACUGGCAUAUACAUAAUUUUAAAACAAUAUGCAUUUUAAAGAGUUUUACUGAAUAUCUGUAGAGGAGAACGUGGAAAAAGAGGAGGAAUUAGGAAGGAGUGUGCAAUGAUAGAUCCCCCAAAAGAAAUGCUUGCAGAAACCCCAAGUUUGCUUGAGGUUUACACACUGGCACUUAGUGUUCGUUGGGGAUAAUGGGCCCUCUCAGAGAAGUGGUGUUGUGUCAGCCCACAUGCCUUACUCAAAGGACACAUAGAUUUAAAUUUCCAGGGAUUGUACUCUCUGAGCCAUGUCAUCUUUCAUUUCUGGAUGAACCUAUUGCCUUCUACUGACCAUAUUCAAAACAUAAUCAUUCCUUUGGAUCCAGCUCAUCACUCUAGCGCUUCCAUUAUCCAGUCACUGCAUGCCCUAUACUCUUGUCGAAGAAGAAGAAGAAGGAAGAGGAGGAGGAGGAGGAGGAGGGGAGGGGAGGAGGAAGAAGAAGAGAAAGAAGAAAGAGAUAUCACUUUUCAUCACUGUCUUGAGUCUAUCUUAUAUGUUGGAGAGCACUUAUAUCAUUUUUUAAAAGAAAUUAAGCAAGCAUGCCCUCAUUCAUUCAGUAGCUGUUAUAAUUCUAUCAGCCUGUGCUGAGCCUGUGAAUGAACUACACUCAAUGUCUUUAUUUGAAUGAAAAAACCAGUGAGUGGCCAUAGCCUGAGAACCACCCUGCCCAGAAUGCAUCUACUCAUCCUAUCCUGUUCAGCCCUCCUUGUGUUCAAUGUCCAUCCUCCGUGUCUUGAAGAUUAUUACCAUAGGACAAGUGCAAAACUGGAUAUUUAAAUUAGUCUACCAUAGGUUGCUUUUUUCAUCAGUGGCUAUAUUCUAAUCCCCACAGUGGGGAGAUGCUAGUCUUGUCCCAGGAAGUAUGCAGUGGCUGCCCUGACCUUUACCAUUUCACUCAGAAUGGCAUUCAGGUUAAAACCUAGAAUUAAUACUUUAUGGAAUUUCCUAUUUAACCUUUUAGUCCAUAUAUGACCACAGGCAUCUAUCUCUACGCUCAGAAAAUAAAACUACAGGUAAUGGGGGUUCCUCACGAACCCCAAGUAGUUUCAUUUGGAUUUAGAUCUUGUUAAUAAAGAAUAACUGAAGCUUGUUAUAAUCUCAAUUUUACUCCAUUUUAUUUCCAUAUUUUUUCCAAAAAUCCCCUCCUUUCUAGCCAAGCCAUUUGCCUCACUAUCUUCUUAAGGGUGGCAAUAUCUUACAAGUUAUUUAGCUCACAGUAUCAGAAAGAAAAAACUUCAAAAGGACUAAUUAAAAAAUG